CCUCUCCUCCGCUGGUUUUACCGUCGCGACACAACCAAUCCCUCGCUAGCCCUACCUCGUCUCUCGUCUCCAGUCGCAGCCGCCGCCGCCGCACCCCAAUCCAACCCCGCCGCCGGCGAUCUCCUCGCCCCCCUGCGCCGCCGCCAUCAACCUUCUGUUCCUCUCCCAAGGGAAUCCCAAGGGAAGGGAAGGCAAGGGAAGGGAAGGGAAGGGAAGGGAAGGGAGAGGGAGCGCCCAGAUCCACGGCGGCAUCAGGCACCAUCGUCGACCUGGUCCGCGUCCGUCCUCGAGGGAGGUCGGCCAUGGAGGUCCGACCCGGCCCGGCAGCAGCCAUGGACGGACGGAGACGCCCCAAACCCUACCCUCAAGGACGACGCCUCAACCUUCAACCGGAUCUUCCACCACACCACAUCGGCCUCCCUGAUUUCACGCAGGAGCUCCGCUGCUUCCAGAACGUCACCUGCUACCAGUUGUCAUCUUUCAGAAGACAAAGUACGGGUUGAGUAAGCUGUUUGGUGUUGGAAUCGGCGAGGUUGGUCAUGUUGGUGGUAUUCUCUUAUGUGCACGCCUCUGAACACCCAUCAAGGGGGAAUGCUUAGGAGCAUUUGUUGUACAUAAGCACAUACAGAAAUAAGAUUUUAUCUACUUUUGAGGAUAUGGUGGUAGAAACAACAAGGAGCAUGACCAGGAUAGGAGAGUACACAGGGCUCUGCCAGUGCACUACAUCACAGAUGUCAUAUGUAGGAAUGAUGGCAUCAACUGUCAUUUGCACGUUUACAGAUUCACAAUGGAGGUGAGAUUGGUAUAUGCUUCAUCAGCACAAGUCCUAUGUAACGAAGUUGGAUAAUAUACGAUUCCUUACGAAAGACUAAUUUCGAGAAUGCAUCUUUUGUGAGAUUAUUAGCUAGCUUGAUUUGGAUGCUGUUGGAAUUGUUUUAUUCUUUUAGGUGUCAUGAUCUCUAGCGGUAGCUAGCCUGGUUUGAAGGUGUUGAUCCUUCACAUCACAUUCGGAACCGUUCGCUCUCUGGUUACGAUUUGGCUGCCAUGCAGCGGAAUCUGGCUGAAAAAGUGAAACCAAACAGGGCCAAAAAUUCUUCCAAGGUGCAAAAUUUACCAAAAUGAACUAUAAUGCUAAUGAUUUUUUUCCAUUUAAUUUCUUGGGAGUUUUCGCACAUUAAAUUCUUGCCGCAAUCCCUCUAUAAAUUUUUAGGCGUUCUGAAUUUUGAUGUAGCCAUUCGUCUCAUAGCUGCAAUCGGAAGGACAAAUUCAAAGUUCGGUCUUUUUCUGGAAACUGAAACGGUGGCAUAUAGUAUUUUCUUUCAGUAUAUUAUAUCCUCUUGUUUUCUAGAGAACUGAUCAUACCUAUCUUGCUCGAUUUGUUUAUGCUCUGCGUUUUACUGUGGGUGUCUCUUGACAAAAAUGGAUAUGAUUGAGAGGCGCUCCAAGGAGCAAGAGAAAUCAUGUGUAAAUACAAGUGCACUUUGAUUUUUUUGAUGCCAUUUAUAUAACUACAAUAUUAAUGAUGGUUGUACAUAGAGUUUUAGACCUGUGGCUCUUUUGUUUACAUUAUGAGAUGUUCGUUAUCUAGGUAAAACUUGGGAACAUGUAUGGAUGACAAUACUAUAUGGAUUUGAUCAUUUAUUGACUAAUUAUACAGCGUAUGAACUUAUAGAGUUUAGAGUUGUUUAUCAUGUUCUAAUGCUGGAGUUAAAAGUUUCAUGUAGCUAAUGCCAUCAUCUUUAUAAAGAGCGGCAACAUACUCCGUAAGUUUUCACCCUACUCUAGGAAGCCAUUUCAUCAGUUUUUGGCUUCUGACACACUCGGAGCAACAAAUUUUGUGCUGCUAAUUGUUCUGUCCUCUCUGUUCUCUCUCUUUGCACUUACUUGUGAUUUUUGCUUAUGUCC